CACAGGUUGUUCCAGUCAUUUUGUCCUUAGCAUACCUGAACAUGGCAAAUCCAAGAGAACUUAUUCCUUGAUCUUUUUGGAGGUUGAGGUAUAGCUUGUAGUUCCCCAGACCCUUUUCCUUGCCCUUCAUAAAGACAAGUAUGACAUUUACCUUUUUCCAGUCGUCAUGAGACUCUCAUGGCAGCAGGAGAAGAAAGCUUUACAGUCGUAUUGUCUCCUACUGAUACAUCCCACGUGGUCCCAUGGAUCUGAGAACGUUUGCUUAACUGGUCCCUAACUCAGUCUUCUGCAGCACAGGUGAUGCUUUGUGCUCUGGGAUCUCACUGUUUGGCUUAGGAACCUGGGAAGCCAGAGGACAUGCCAUGCCAGCAGUGCCCAAGGCAGGAAAGGCACAAAAAAACACUUUUGCAUAAGAAGAUAUUAAGCACGUCAGACAGGAAGAAAUAGCUGCAUUGCAACAGUCCCAGAAGGGAGCCACAAACCAGAUGUCCAUGAGUUCCAUGUAGAUUGAAAUGUGGAUCUGCCAGCCACAGGAGCCAGAAACUGGAUUGCAGUCUAGGCUACACACCUUGUCAUGCACUAACACAUGCCUCCUGAAUUAGCUGGAAUGCAGAGCUUUGGGGUGCACCCUGUCAUCAUGAGAUGGCCUCAAGCAACAGCAGACCUACUCUCCUGAAGCUGUAUUGCAGCAAUAAUGCCGUGUCUUGAGGAGCAGGAUCUGGCUGGAUUGCUCAUGCAGAAGGGAAUGAUGAAUCAAUUGGGCAAGUGUGAAGGUUGGCAUACAUUGGGUUGCGACAUUAAUGCAAUCUCUUGGCAUAAUUUUCCAGUCCAGUUCCAGGAUUUGGACUUCUCCAGGUCAAGGGGGAGAAGGUGGGAGAGCAGCCUGCCCCCACCCCCAGAGCUCUGCCAUCCCCAUUUCCCUGCAGUGCUUUGUUCUUCCCUAGUCGGAGACACCAUGACCCCCCAUAGCAGGGUAUGGGGGAAGAUGAAGGAUGCCACGUUCCAGCAGGAGAAACCUCACUUAUCAGCAGCACAUGCUUCACAGCACAGAGCUCAAAGGGAAACAGGACAAGGGUGGAUAGCGAUAGGACAAGGGGGAAUGGUUUUACACUGCGACAGGGGAGGUUUAGAUUGGAUAUUAGGAGGAAAUUUUUCACACAGAGGGUGGUGACACACUGGAACAGGUUGCCCAAGGAGGCUGUGGAUGCCCCAUCCCUGGAGGCAUUCAAGGCCAGGCUGGAUGUGGCUCUGGGCAGCCUGGUGUGGUGGUUGGUGACCCUGCAUAUAGCAGGGGGUUGAAACUCAGUGAUCAUUGUGGUCCUUUUCAACCCAGGCCAUUCUGUGAUUCUAUGAUAAACGGAGUGUCACACUGAUGGCACAAGCUAAUCCAAACAACGCCAUGAAGGCCACUGUGGAGGAGUGGUAUGGUUUUAAACGGUGUAGUGGCAGCAGGGAACAUGCAAAAAUAAC
ensembl:lncRNA